rnacentral:rRNA from 1 species
GUUAAAAACAUGAUCACUGGUGCUGCACAGAUGGACGGUGGUAUCCUAGUUGUUGCUGCGACAGAUGGCCCAAUGCCACAAACUCGUGAGCACAUCC